rnacentral:lncRNA from 1 species
CAAAAAAGGAACUUGUAUACCAAUCUCUUAUUAAGAAGGUAUGCCUGAGACAUGAACUCCAUGCUGUGACCAAAGCCAUUGCUUCCUGCAAUCUGCAUGGAACCGACAGACAGAGGUGACAUUGACAUAUUGUCCUCAAUCUCAUGCUCCCUCAAAUUUUCCAUAAUCAAUUAUGUUAAUGAGAGCCAAGGUAUUGAAACUAAUUAAGGAUCUAAUAGUAAUGUUUAGAUGUAAUGAGUUAACUGCAUCAUACCAAGAACUUGCCUAUAUAUUGGAGGCAGAAUUUUGGUUGGUUGGCCACAUA